rnacentral:tRNA from 1 species
GGGGAUUUAGCUUAUUGGUAGAGCACUUGCCUAGCAAGCACAAUGCCCUGGGUUCAGCCCCCAGCUCCG